rnacentral:lncRNA from 1 species
CUGAACUCUGAUUCUCUGUUCAGCGUAACAGAGCAGUACCCGUAACCGCAUAUGUAACUCCUGUUUCACUGAAGAAUCCCAGACUCUUUUUCAUCGUUAACCUGCUAGUCAGAAAAAAGCUGCAGCCUAAAACAGAAGUAAAUGAGAGCUCCUAUGAAGGGCCUCUUUACAUGUGGAUUGCUCCAUAUCACAGGUGCCGGCAAAUAAAGACACACCAGAUGACGCUGACAGCAGAAAGAGUAAUAACACGGAAUUGGAAGAAUUGAUUUACAAGAUGCUGCAUUAGUAAACUGUAAAAGAGGGCACAUGAGCUGGAGAGAAUCAGUCUGGAUCUAAAAAUAACAAAUUAAGGAUUACAUAAGUUACCCUUAUGUACAUAUGCUGCAAUUGUAAAUCAUAUGUUAUAGAUACCACAGCUAAAAUAACAAAAAUAGUCCAAUUUACCUGCCCGUAAUCAAACACGGGCAGUGGACAGUGUUGCUUCCGUCUUUUCUGCUCUGUAUCUCUGAAUGGUUGUAUAUACAAAGAGCAGAGAAGGAAGUGAUGAAAUAAAGGUUACUAAAAGAAUAUCUGAUCUUUUUAU